UACAGAGGUCCCAAGCGUUGUUCGGAUUCACUGGGCGUAAAGGGUGCGUAGGUGGCUUUGCAAGUCUGAUGUGAAAUCUCCGGGCCCAACCCGGAAAUGGCAUUAGAAACUGCAGGGCUAGAGGCUUGGAGGGGGAACUGGAAUGCUCGGUGUAGCAGUGAAAUGCGUAGAGAUCGAGAGGAACACCUGCGGCGAAGGCGGGUUGCUGGGCUGACACUGACGCUGAACUGCGAAAGCUAGGGGAGCGAACGGG
rnacentral:rRNA from 1 species